AUUGAACGCUGGCGGCAGGCCUGACACAUGCAAGUCGAGCGGAUGAAGGGAGCUUGCUCCUGGAUUCAGCGGCGGACGGGUGAGUAAUGCCUAGGAAUCUGCCUGGUAGUGGGGGAUAACGUCCGGAAACGGGCGCUAAUACCGCAUACGUCCUGAGGGAGAAAGUGGGGGAUCUUCGGACCUCACGCUAUCAGAUGAGCCUAGGUCGGAUUAGCUAGUUGGUGGGGUAAAGGCCUACCAAGGCGACGAUCCGUAACUGGUCUGAGAGGAUGAUCAGUCACACUGGAACUGAGACACGGUCCAGACUCCUGCGGGAGGCAGCAGUGGGGAAUAUUGGACAAUGGGCGAAAGCCUGAUCCAGCCAUGCCGCGUGUGUGAAGAAGGUCUUCGGAUUGUAAAGCACUUUAAGUUGGGAGGAAGGGCAGUAAGUUAAUACCUUGCUGUUUUGACGUUACCAACAGAAUAAGCACCGGCUAACUUCGUG
rnacentral:rRNA from 1 species